rnacentral:lncRNA from 1 species
UCUUAUUGAAAACUGCAGCUGGUGAUAAGCAAUGCAAUAUUACAAUAGUGCUUGUUAAGUAUUUUUAAAUUUCAACUGAGUGUAAAAGAUGUGGGUAUUUAGACCAAGAAAAUCAAGUUGUCUAGUUGCUAAUCAGCCAGAGAUUUUAGAUUCGGGUUGCUCGUUUAAUAUAAAUGAUGUUGUAAAAGAAGUGAUUCAACAACCAUAAAAGUUAUUAAUGCAUCUACUGAUAACCCCAUCGCAUUGCAUAAUACUCUUAUAGCCUUUCAUACAGUAUAGAAGCAGCUUAUAUAUGACAUUUCAAACAUCAUCGGAG